ACUCUGGUUUUGGAAACAGUUCGAUGAAAUGGAUGUUGUACUCAGGAGUGUUUACGUUAGAAUGUUCUUCUGGACGGUGGCCAAACCUCCUUGGCUAGGUAAAAAUGUAUCCAGGUAACUUAAUACUGUGUUGGGUUUUGCAGAGGACAGGGCUAACUGUCCUCUGUAAAAGAAUUAAAAUAAAAUAGGAAGAAUUCUGAAUAAGGAAUCAAGUAAGAAACCAAUUCCCUGUAUAAAAUUAGAGCAUAAAAAUUUUAUAAUUUUUUUUUGUUGUUUUAAAGUAUUGCCUUGACCUCUUUUUGGAUGUUUUGCUCUGAGGCUCACCCUUCUGGAUGUGCCAAGCUGUUAAUAUAUAAAAUACAUUGUUUAACACUGAUGAGGUAGAAGCUGCCAAGAAAGAGUUAAGUGCCAUGGUGAGCAACAGCAUUUUCAGAAAUUGCCUGGAACAAUGGGUUUUUUUUCCAGGAAAGAUGUAUUAAAGGGAUUGCAGAACAUGCUAAUAGUCUCUAAAUGUCAAGUCCAGCAUCCUGACAGAUGAUUUCAUCACACAAGGGUUUUAGUUUUUUCCCCCAAUUCUGCAGAAGAUGUUUACGUGCUACUGCCUCUCUCUGCUGUAGUAGCGAUGCAGAGCUCCAGUUAAUGUGUUAAAUACAUGAAGAUUUUGUUGUUAUUUUACAUUUAACAUGUUUUAAAAUCUAUUUUAAAUCCUCGGGCUCAUUAACCUUCUGCUGUGUAUUGAAGAGUCUUCUGUAGUCUAACUGUAAGCUUGUUUUUCCAGAUCCAAGUAUUUUAGAACAUGUUCAACAGGAGAACACUUCACCAUAGAGUUUGAGAACCUGGUGGAAAGCGAUGAGGGGGAAAGCCCAGGAAGCAGCCACAGGUAAGACUUUGAGACCGAGGACCUCUCCUUCCCUCUGCUGUUCCACU